UACGGAAGGGGCAAGCGUUGUUCGGAAUCAUUGGGCGUAAAGGGCGCGUAGGUGGUUCUGUAUGUCUACCGUGAAAGCAUACAGCUCAACUGUAUUUUGUCGGUAGAAACUGCAGGACUUGAGGCUGGGAGGGGCUGGUGGAAUUCCCUGUGUAGCGGGUGAAAUGCGUAGAGAUGGGGGAGAACACUCGUGGCGAAGGCGGCCAGCUAGACCAGUUCUGACACUGAGGCGCGACAGCGUGGGGAGCAAACAGG
rnacentral:rRNA from 1 species